CGGGGGGAGCAAGCGUUGUUCGGAUUUACUGGGCGUAAAGGGCGCGUAGGCGGCCACCGCAAGUCGACUGUGAAAUCUCCUGGCUUAACCCGGAAAGGUCAGCCGAUACUGCGGGGCUAGAGUGCAGAAGGGGCAACUGGAAUUCUCGGUGUAGCGGUGAAAUGCGUAGAUAUCGAGAGGAACACCUGCGGCGAAGGCGGGUUGCUGGGCUGACACUGACGCUGAGGCGCGAAAGCUAGGGGAGCGAACGGGAUUAGAUACCCCGGUAGUCCUAGCCUUAAACGAUGAAUGCUUGGUGUCUGGGGUUUUAUAGUCCCCGGGUGCCGUCGCUAACGCUUUAAGCAUUCCGCCUGGGGAGUACGGUCGCAAGACUG
rnacentral:rRNA from 1 species